rnacentral:lncRNA from 1 species
GUAUUUUGCUCUCUGAUAUACAACAAUGAGUCGGUUUUACAGUUUAACCGAAGAUCUGGAUCUACUCUUUACCGUUCACUCUUUUCAGUCUCUCCGACCAUGUCGCUGUAUCCUAAAACUGUGGUUCGUGAGGUAAAAUCUGAAUCUCUGACUUCAUUGUUACUUUGGUUCAGCUUCUUUUCUUUUUUGUUUUGGUGCUGAUGAGUCUGUUUUACAGUUUACCCAAAAGAGCUCUGGAUCGAUUCUCUGGCGUUCACUCUCUUCUUCUGGAUCUCCGAUCAUGUCUCCAUAUCUGGUUCGUGAGGUAAAAUCUGAAUCUCUGACUUCAUUUCAUUUUUAAUCUAUUUCAGCUUCUUCCUUUCGAUGUUGAUGA